CUCGUAGGUGGCCAACUAAGUCAGACGUGAAAUCCCUCGGCUUAACCGGGGAACUGCGUCUGAUACUGGAUGGCUUGAGUUCGGGAGAGGGAUGCGGAAUUCCAGGUGUAGCGGUGAAAUGCGUAGAUAUCUGGAGGAACACCGGUGGCGAAGGCGGCAUCCUGGACCGACACUGACGCUGAGGAGCGAAAGCCAGGGGGAGCAAACGG
rnacentral:rRNA from 1 species